GGAGAGAGAAAGCAUCAGCCAGUGAGCUACCCUGUUCAGUGAAGCUCCUGCUGGGACAGAUUUUAAUGUUGCUAAAGCUAGAUAAGGGAAAAGGCGUUAAUAGCAACAAACUAACAGAGGGAGGCACUGUCCUAAGAGCCACACCGAUGCUGCUCCUCUUAGGAUGGUAUGAUGACCAAGUAAACCCAUGUAAGUUGAAAAUGCAUUUAAUAUACCUAACCUACCAGACAUCACAGCUGGCCCUAGCCUAACUUACUGUGCUCAGAACAUUUACAUUAAUCUAUUGUUGGGCAAAACCAUCUAACACAAAGCCUGUUUUAUAAGGAGGUGUUGAAUAUCUCAUGUAAUGUACUGCAUACAUGAAAAAGGGGGGAAAAAAGAAAAGAAAAAUGAGUACACUUUCAUACCAUGGGAAAGUUCAAAAUCUAUGUCAGGGACUGCGCGCGCGAGCAUGCGUGUGUGUGUGUGUGUGUGUGUGUGUGUGUGUGUAACAUGUAACUUAAUAUAAAUUUAAUCCCCCAGCUACCCUGUGAGGUAGUGACUCUUGUCCUUCUCAUUUGACAGAUAAGAAAGCUGAGGCACAUAAGUUACUUUUCCAAGAUUAAGUGGUAGAAGAUACUGCUGAGACCAGUUUGAGGGUGCCCUAAGUUAUGGCAGCCAAGCUUAUCUUUUUGCUGUCUGAGCCCUCUCUCUCUCUGAUGGAGGCAAUGAUUUGUGAGCAUUUACUAUGUGACAGAAAUUAUGCGAGUUUCAUUAAUCAUCUCAUUUCAUCUUUAUAUGAACUGAGGUUGCUAUUACUGUUCUCAGUUUAACAAGUGGAGAAACUGUGGCAGGGGUGAAGUAACUCACCUAUGGUCGCAUAGUUCAUAGAGUUGGGACUAAAAUAUAGGACUGACUCACCCCAGAGGCUGUAGUCCUAACUACCAAGCAUGGCCUGCAUGUGGCUGGGCAGGGGCUUGGCUUUAAGGCUACUGUGUCUUCUGCACAGCAAGGAGAGGGGUUGACUGGCCAGUAGAGAAAUAAGGAGGCCAGGAAAUUGCCACUUGCUGGAAACCCUCGCCUAGCUCUUCCCAGCCUGUCUCUCCCUCCAAAACACCUCCCUCAGCUGCCCUCAGACGUGGCUCCAGCACACCUGGUGCCUUCUCAGGCUGACUGGCUGGACUGCACUGGCCAAGCAAGAGCAGGGAGCCUGGGGCCAGUUCUUCCAGACCCUUUUUGGGUUUCUUAGGACAGAGUCUCAGGUGCCAUCUGGAAGGGGCUGAGAGAUUGACUUGGGUGAGGGCCACAUUUGGAGGCUGGGGAGGAGAGGCUCUGUCUGAUAAUUCACAAGGUUCACUCUCCCUGGGUCCAAGCUGCCUUAGUCCUGCCAGCUCCCUCCCCAGAUCCUGAUCAAGUUACUCACAGCAAGCUUCAAGUUUGGGGACCAUCUGUUUCUUAAGCCCCCCAGAGACCCACAGGAUCAUCUUACCUCCUGUCUUAAUGCUCAGAGCUAAGCCUGGAGGGCAGGCGGGUAGGGAGCUGACAGGGCAGGCAGGGAAGCUCUGCAGGGCUGGGCUGGAUUGGCAGCUGACUGUCUCAAGCUUCUGGGUCCAGUGUUCCCCUGCCAACCCUGGCCCUGGCAGGGAGGGGCAUCCUAGACAGGUUCUCAGUGAGCCAGCAACACUAAGGGACAGUGGAGGACUAAUACCCCUUAGAGGAAGGAGGCUUUCGCUGGAGUGUGAAGAUUGCCUAAGCUUUGUGCCCCUUCCCAAGGUGGGGAAAGAAAUGGUGGUUCAGGCUCUGACAGCCCUGGGAUGCACAUGUGCAAGUACAGGAGUCUGAGUGGUGGUGGCGGCAGCAAGAAACACAGAGCACAUGGGUGGCUACGCCUGCUGUCGAUGGCCCUUGCCCUGGCCUCUUUGCUUCUGCCUUCUGGACCCUUCCUUUCAGAAGUACUCAGCUGCAGCUGCUGAGAGCCAGGACAGCACUAGAGGAGACUCUAAGCCCCAAACCAAGCUCAGUUCAUUCCUGGCAAACCGUGUCUCCCAGACUCCCCUAUUUUUCCCUGUCCCCCAGUUCACUUUCCUGUCACACCUGCCCGGAACCUCAAGAGACAUUUUUGGCUUCUUCACUCAGUCAUCCCUUCCCCACCCAACUUAAUCAUGUACCGUGUUGGAGUCCUCUCCUGGAUGUGUCGCACCUCUCCCUCCAUCCCCUGAAAUGCUGCAGAACCCUUGUUUAGGACCAGGCCUCUGGACUACCAGACAUGAGUCCCUGAGCAGUUUUCUCAGACACACACUUCCAGUCACCUUACUCAGCGGCCCUCCAUUGCCCAGAGACUCAAAUCUAGUAAGCAACUAUAGAAAUGAUCCCUGAAAGUACAGCCUUGAGAGGCUCAAAUCUAAUCUAGUCUGCAGUCCAGGCCAUGACAGGAUUUUCAAUUCUGGGCGUGUCUCUAUCCCCUAUAUGUACUUGUCAUGCUCCUGUGGGGGCCUUGUCUGUAAUCUUUAAGAUGUUCGUCCCUAAAGUCCUGCUGCUUAUGUACUUGCCCCCAUGUCCUCCACAAGUUUAAAAUGCCCAGCUGCUCAUGAAAUAUUUAUUGAGCGCUACUGGAAGGCAGAGAAUGAGGUCUGUACCCAGAACCUAGCUGGCACUUGUUACAUACCCAUAAACCAUACACUGAGUCCUACUGACUGCCCCCCAACCCGCAGAUCAUCCAUUCAGACUUCUUGCUACCUUCAACCACUUGCUACACAGAGAUGAGAUAGAAGAGGGAGAGAGAGCCAUUUCCCAAGGUUUCAUUUCACCAAGCAGCAAGAAGUCUGCGCUGGCAGGCUUCCUUCCAGAAGGCAAAACACAGUCCAGGUCAGAGGCAGUGGGAGGAAUGAAAUGACCCCAUUCAGUUUUAUCCAGUAUGGAAAAAUCCAUAAGAAAUAAUGCUGACAUUUUGCACAAGUUUUCCAGCGAGAAUGAAUCUGUGGGUAUGCAUGAAUUCACGGCUGUCCAUAAAACAGAGGCCCCAUUUAAGAAAACAAGGGCUGAAAUUGCACCCAUGUUAAAAGUAAUAUUCUGUAUUGGUUAUGAACAAAAGGAAUAGAGUUCAGAUCCCAGUUCUGCCAUGUAGUAGCUAUGUGACUUAGGCAGGUUAAAUUGUUUUUCAAUUUCUGCAUUCUUUAACAUGGGAAUGAUAGCUUCUGUCUUAUAUAACUAUUAUGCAGAUUAGAUGAGGUAAUCUGUACCCCUAUAUGGCACAAAGAAAGGCUUAGGUGAAUGCUAGCUGUUCAUUUAAGGCUUCCUGUGUACUUCCAGAACACUUUUUCCUCAUUGAAAAUGAACUUCAUAGUAAUGACAGGAUAAGGGAAACACACUCCUGUCCUGUCCCUUCUUCCCCCAACCCUGCCCCAUGCAGGGGAAGAUGAGGGGAAGGAAGAGGAAGCCUGGGCAUCCUCUUGCCCACCCUCACGCUGACCUCAGCCCAGCCACGGGCAGGUGCUAGCUAGCAGGCACAGAAGGGGUUGGAGGCAGCUGUGAGAGGGAUGAGAAUGGAAGAAGGAAGUUGAGUUGUGGGAAACUGGGAGGCCAGCGGCAGUGGGAGCAGAAGCAUCCCCUGGGUCUUGAUGGAGAGGGAAGCCAGCAGGACAGCCUUUCCCACCAUCCCCAAGGGGAUGAUGUCAGCCCCAGAGGAAAAGCCUGGGGCCAAGCUGCUAUCUUCACCUAGAGCGUGGGACCUUCUCUGAUCUGGGCUUCUUGUGCUGCAGGACUGAGGAGGGAGCAGUCUGAGUGGGAGCUAAGGAGUGGAGCCAGCUCAGACAGAGCCAGAAGUAAACAUCUCUAAAUCCCAGUCUCCAAGCUAGAAGCUUCUGAGUUCCUCUUGCCUCCUGAUAUCUCUGAGCCUCAGGUUCUUCCUCAGAACAGUUUUAUCCUACUUGCUUUCAGGUGUUACCUAGAGGGUCCGAUUGGACCUGAUUAGUUUGAGUAGGAAUGGAUCUAACAGCCACCUCCCUUUCAAGUCCACAUGUGAGACUGAACUACCCACCAUCAAAUGCAAAGCCUUUAAUAAUCAUAUCCCAGUGAAUAUCAUGGGAAUCCUUUCUAAGAAAGGCCCUCGGUGACCCUGCUGUUUGCCUCCACAUCACCCCUCAGUCCAGCUCCCAUCCCUUGCAACUUCUAGAACUCAGUUUCAUCUUAAACAUUUUCUGCACAAGAAACUUUGGCUCGCUGAGGUUUACCUCAGCAUAUGGUGUACUCUGUAUUUGGAGCUGUGUGGCUGCCAGUUCCCACCUGGUGUGGGAGAGAGCUCCACACGGUAGUCUGGAGCCCUAGCUGGCUAGGUCUCAUACUGACCUCGGCCCCAGCUAACUUGGCCACCUGCCAUUGGGCAAAUUCAAUAUCCUUUUAUGCGUUGGGUUCUGAAUCUGUGAAUAAUAGGCCCUCCCAUGUGUUUGGCACAUGUUCUUUCACACUGCCUGAGCCCCACACUUGCUCUGGGAGGCUGGCUAGGCAGGUGGAGUAGGCCCCACUUUAUGGAUUAGGAAACUAGCGAUCCUCUCAGAUCAUCUCUCUGUGUUACCCAAACAUUCCCCAAUGGGCUGUCAUUAUUUUCACCAUAUCUACACGUGAUCCAGACUUCUGUUUAAUAUUUUAUUUAAAUGCAAAGAAAUGUGUUCAUAAAGGAAUCUGCAUUUAAAGCAUAUGGCUUGCCAUAAAUAGACAGUAGCUAUAAAUAUAUGCUGCCUUGGUCACCACCAAGAGAAACAUUGCUCUAGCUCCUGAGGUCCUGAAGCUGUCAGUGGGAAGGCUGAGACCCCCAAGGCUGGCUCCCUUCCUCCAGGACAAUGAGCUUUUGUGCCAUCAUAAUCCCUGACCAUUCAGCAUCAUGGGGUAAUAGUGAGAAGAAACCAGGCCAGUCAGUGGCCUUUACCACCAGAUGGGGAAGAACAUGAAACCGUCCUCUGAGGGCCUCUGAGAACCAAUUCAGUUCCUUCCCACUGAAGGCUCCUCUUCACUGAGGGAUGAGGGAAGAGGAGCUGCCUGCCUGGGGCCAGAGGGGCAGAUGCCACUGAGACACCAGAUCCCACAGCUGGAGCAGGGCAGUCUGGGGUCAGCUGUCCAUGGGCAGUCCCCCUACCCCCAGUGGUGCACACUCUCUGGGCCCUUUGUAGUGUGGGAGGAGUGGGGAUGGAAGAAGAGGUGCCAGCAUCCUCGGCUCCCUUCCCAAGCCCUGGCCUGGGCCCCUGACUGAUCCUGCAGCUGUGCCCUCCAUCCAUCCAUCUCAGGCCCUCUCCCACUCAGCCAGAACCCUUUGACACAGGCUCCGCUUUGCACAUGGAACUGGCAGUGCGCCCUGCCUCACUUCCCCACCCCCAUCUCUCACAAGAUCCCCAUACAGUUCCUUUCAGUCCCUGAGGAAGCUACUGAGGAGGCUUAGGGCCGGAAAUGGGAAAAGCCCUGUUUCUGCCAAGAGGCCCAUUCUCCAGCUCAGUGAAUAGGGACCUUCUUGGCUCUUGGCUGGGAUUCCUAACAGGAAGAUCCUGGUUCCUAAAGACUAGAGAAUAGAGAAGUACCUUCUGGGAACACCAGGUUGCCUAGGAGGGCUGCCUCCGUCUGAGAGACUCUGCUGCUUCCCCAUGUCUCACCUAGGAUGGACAUUCCAGAAGAUGGCUCUUCCAGCCUCCUCUUCCUCCAGGAAGCCUUCCUGACCUGGCUGUAUUUUAUGAGUCCUGAUCACUCAGGCUUUAUGUAUUCUAUCUGUUCUACACUGACCUGAAUUCAGGAGGAAUGCCCUGUGGGCAUCUUA